rnacentral:rRNA from 1 species
AUUGAACGCUGGCGGCAUGCCUAACACAUGCAAGUCGAGCGGAGCGGCGGACGGGUGAGUAAUGCCUAGGAAUCUGCCUGGUCGUGGGGGAUAACGUCCGGAAACGUGCGCUAAUACCGCAUACUAUCAGAUGAGCCUAGGUCGUAUUAGCUAGUUGGUGGGGUAAAGGCCUACCAAGGCGACGCUCCGUAACUGGUCUGAGAGGAUGAUCAGUCACACUGGGACUGAGACACGGUCCAGACGCCUACGGGAGGCAGCAGUGGGGAAUAUGGGACAAGGGGCGAAAGCCUGAUCCAGCCACGCCGCGUGUGUGAAGAAGGUGUUCGGAUUGUAAAGCACUGUAUGUUGGGAGGCGGUACCAACAGAAUAAGCACCGGCUAACUACGUGCCAGCAGCCGCGGUAAUAC